rnacentral:lncRNA from 1 species
GAAGCUCCAAAACAAGGAUCAAAACCCUUUAGAAGUGGUGAUCUUCCUCAAACCAAGCUCAACUCCAAGCACCAAGCUCUCUACCAUGGAGAAAAUAGCACAAAAGGCAAAAAGAAGAGUAAAUCCACCAAAAUCCAAGCCAACAAGGGGAUCAAAUCCAAAUGGGGUGGUAGAGGAAGCUCCCUUACCUCUCUCUCUGCUGUGGCAAGCUCAAAGAGUAGCCCUAGGGGCGUGGGUGGUAAUAUAGAAGUGCUACAAAAGCAAAAACACCCCUGCAGUUUCGAACUGUGUGAAAUCUGCCGCCUUGUACCGGUACACGGGCCCUUGUACCGGUACAAGGUCCACGAAAUCCAAACCCGAGGCUCGGGUUGCUGGGCUCUGCGGCUCUGUACCGGUACAAGCUCCGAUGGCUGUACCGGUACAACCAUCAACCUUGUACCGGUACAAGCACAACCUUGUACCGGUACAAGCCUGCCAGAACUCAAUCCGAGAGUCAGCCAAAUUCCGUUUUUUCGGGUUUUGGUGCAAGACUUUGUACCACAAAUCUCGGGACACGUGCCAUAGGUCGGAACACAGUCAACGACCCACCAGAAAAUCUGGAA